GGUAUCCCCCAACCCUACCCUGCUCAGUAUACCAGGGGGAGGUAUCCACCAACCCUACCCUGCUCAGUAUACCAGGGGGAGGUAUCCCCCAACCCUACCCUGCUCAGUAUACCAGGGGGAGGUAUCCCCCAACCCUACCCUGCUCAGUAUACCAGGGGGAGGUAUCCCCCAACCCUACCCUGCUCAGUAUACCAUGGGGAGGUAUCCCCCAACCCUACCCUGCUCAGUAUACCAGGGGGAGGUAUCCCCCAACCCUACCCUGCUCAGUAUACCAGGGGGAGGUAUCCACCAACCCUACCCUAGGGGGAGAAAUGUAUUAUUCCAAAUAGUCUACGACUCCUAUGGUAUACAGUGGCUACGUCUCAAUUAUCUCUCCUUCCUCCUGCAGUGUGCACUCUUUCACUACUCCCCACAAAUCUAAAAGCAUUGGAUUGGUGUAGGCGUGGGUUAGAGGGAGUUUUCCAUAUCCUGUUUAUCUUGGGAAAAUGGAUUGUAAUGAAUGGAAGGUUCCCUUAUUAAAAUAAUAAUAUGUAUUGUUGUGUUUUUUUUAAGACUACCACUGUAAUCCCAAUGUCGGGAAUGAAAAAACCUCACUACAAUGUGUGCUUUUGAUUUACUUAUUUAAAAUGUGAUAUUAAUCUUAUUUAGGUUGUGUUUGUUAUCUGUGAGUUUUUUUUUUUUUUUGUGCAAAAUCAAGUGACAGUAAUGUUUAAUUUAUUAUUAUGGUCAGCCAGCUUUGCCAAAUGUGAUAUCAUUAAAAAAAACAUGUUGUCCAA